GCAUGCACUUUUCUAUUUGGUGCUUGUAGACGUUAUGGGAAAGUUGUCUCUCUCACUAGAUCUCUCUCCCCAUCCCUCCCUCCCUUCCUCCUCCUCCUCCUCCUCCUCCUCCUCCUCCUCCCCCUUCUCUUCGUCUAUCAUGUGCUUGGGAUAUGCUCAUGCUUUGCACAGAGCAGCCGAAGCACGCCUAAAUGCAGGCUACUGUGUGUUAGCGGCAAUUUUAAAGUGAUGCCCCCCCCACCAAAUAAUACGGCUGGGAUAUUUGAGGGGAACAUAUACCACAUCACGGUACACACGGACCCAACUGAACACCGCUCUUCUUUUCCUGCUUGGGACGCUUUCUGGUCGAUUGCAGUGAUUUGACUGACCUUUAGGAAUGAUGGAGAAAGGGAGCUGUGGAGAGCUACAGGCAGCAGGAAGUAGAGGUCAAAACGAGAUCUCUGGGAUUUUGCUCUCUACUGGAACCACAUGAGGUUGGAAUGGAGACCUUGUAGAUCAUGACCCAGAAACAAAUGGCAAGAUGACUGGAGUCUCCAGGCUAAAGAUGUCAAGGAUAUUCAGCUGAUCUCAGAGGUUGAUGAGGUCCUGAUCAACCAUGGAGCCUGCAUUUCAUCAAGAUGAGCUUCAAGAUGUCCAUGAGCUUCACAUUACUCUUUACAACACUUGGACCUGCACUGUACUCUUUAUUUCUGUAUUUGUGUCAACUGGUUAUAUACGAUUAUUGGCCAAACUGACUAAUACUGUGACCUUGCACUAAUAUACAACUGUAUCUAUAUAGAUUUAUUAUUUUUAUAUGGAAGAAUACUUAAUAAGAAAAUAUGAUGAAAAUAUUCUUCACAUUGUAACUUGGAUUUAUUUCAUGGAAUUGAUUGAUUCUAACAAGUCUACAUUUUGACAGCUAAAUAAAAGGCACUUUCCCUUAAA